GUGAGUCAUCGAAUCUUUGAACGCAAAUGGCGCUCUCGGCAAUACCGGGAGCAUGUCUGUCUGAGUGUCAUUUAAAUAACCUCACGCCGGCCCGCCAGUGUUACAGCUGUGCCGUGGAUGGUGUGGUUUUGAGGUGGUCACGGACCUUUUUAGAAAUUCAAAGUCCGAGUCCCUUUAAAGAACGAGACGCGCAAAGCCGAUUUUAUCUUCGAAAUCGCUCGCCCUUUAAUGGUGUGACAAUUUGCUCGAAUGCGUAGCACUUUCAACGCCAGGCCUGGGGAGGAGAUGGCAACGAAGAGG
rnacentral:misc_RNA from 1 species